ACCACUCAACUACGCGCGUAUGUACCUCGCCGAUCUAGUUCCGGCCACCGCUCAGCGAAUCAUAUACUUCGAUUCCGAUCUCAUCAUCGUUGAUGACUUGCUGAAAUGCUCCAACUCGUUCGACCAAAGUGUUAGCGAAAUGAGUGCUUAAGGGAUAUGUAUAUACUGGAUUUGAAUUGAAUGGUAUAAAAUCACAUGAGUUCGACGGCUACUUAAUCUUGAGGAAUUUAUAGUUUUGAUUGUGUUUUAGACUUUGUUGAAGUUGAAAUGAUGAAUUUUUAAAAGAAAAAAAAAAUUGGGGUAUUUUUUUAUGAAGGUUUUUAUAUGAAGGUUAUCCAACAAUCUCCUUUUCAAGGGGGUUGAAAUUUACGAAAUAUGAGCAAAUUGAUGAUCAA